rnacentral:ncRNA from 1 species
GAUCGAGUGGGUGAGGAAUACAAUACCUGAAAGGGGAAUAACUCCAGCCUGCUGUAGGCUUUCGAACCGCUCGAUCACCAAUUU